rnacentral:rRNA from 1 species
UAGGGAAUCUUCGGCAAUGGGGGGAACCCUGACCGAGCAACGCCGCGUGAGUGAAGAAGGUUUUCGGAUCGUAAAGCUCUGUUGUAAGAGAAGAACGGGUGUGAGAGUGGAAAGUUCACACUGUGACGGUAUCUUACCAGAAAGGGACGGCUAACUACGUGCCAGCAGCCGCGGUAAUACGUAGGUCCCGAGCGUUGUCCGGAUUUAUUGGGCGUAAAGCGAGCGCAGGCGGUUAGAUAAGUCUGAAGUUAAAGGCUGUGGCUUAACCAUAGUAUGCUUUGGAAACUGUUUAACUUGAGUGCAGAAGGGGAGAGUGGAAUUCCAUGUGUAGCGGUGAAAUGCGUAGAUAUAUGGAGGAACACCGGUGGCGAAAGCGGCUCUCUGGUCUGUAACUGACGCUGAGGCUCGAAAGCGCGGGGAGCAAACAGGAUUAGAUACCCUGGUAGUCCACGCCGUAAACGAUGAGUGCUAGGUGUUGGGUCCUUUCCGGGACUCAGUGCCGCAGCUAACGCAUUAAGCACUCCGCCUGGGGAGUACGACCGCAAGGUUG